rnacentral:rRNA from 1 species
GUACGCGGCAUCGACUCUGUCGUUGCCGAUGCUACUGGAAAGAUGACCAAACUUGAUCAUUUAGGGGAAGUAAAAGUCGUAACAAGGUUUCCGUAGGUGAACCUGCGGAAGGAUCAUUA